CACGUAGGGGGCAAGCGUUGUCCGGAUUUAUUGGGCGUAAAGAGCUCGUAGGUGGCUCGAUAAGUCGGGUGUUAAACCCCCAGGCUCAACCUGGGGCGCCACUCGAUACUGUCGUGGCUAGAGUCCGGUAGGGGAGCGUGGAAUUCCUGGUGUAGCGGUGAAAUGCGUAGAUAUCUGGAGGAAUACCGGUGGCGAAGGCGGCAUCCUGGACCGGCAUUGACGCUGAUGAGCGAAAGCUAGGGGAGCAAACGGG
rnacentral:rRNA from 1 species